CUCCAGCAUGACGGAAGGGGGGAACCCCGACGGUGUGACGUAACUGAGCAGUCUGAGUGGAGAAUCCCCAUCCAACCCUGAAAGACUCCAAAGCAGCAUCACAACCGCAUUUCCUGCAAUUAUUUGCAUUAGGUGCGCUGAUUCUGGGUCAGCUGCAAGUCUUCAAACACAGAGAGACGCUUCAUCUGAGUGCAGGUAAAUCCUCCUUCUAAGUGGGUCAGGAACAUGGUAUUUUUUGCACAGAGCAGAGCACUCUGUGCAUGCUUGAGAUGAUCUCUCCCUAAAAGCCAGACUGUUUUUUUUAAUAGAGGAAGUGUGUGAUAGAGCAGUAUGCAUGCUCCAUCUUCUACUCAUCCCAUGCUGCCAUCCGGAUAAUUUG